rnacentral:rRNA from 1 species
GACGAACGCUGGCGGCGUGCUUAACACAUGCAAGUCGAACGGAAAGGCCCUGCUUGCAGGGUACUCGAGUGGCGAACGGGUGAGUAACACGUGGGUGAUCUGCCCUGCACUUCGGGAUAAGCCUGGUAAACUGGGUCUAAUACCGGCUAGGAGCCAUUUUUAGUGUGAUGGUUGGAAAGUUUUUUCGGUGUAGGAUGAGCUCGCGGCCUAUCAGCUUGUUGGUGUGGUAAUGGACUACCAAGGCGGCGACGGGUAGCCGGCCUGAGAGGGUGGCCGGCCACAUUGGGACUGAGAUACGGCCCAGACGCCUACGGGAGGGAGCAGGGGGGAAGAUUGCACAAUGGGCGCAAGCCUGAUGCAGCGACGCCGCGGGGGGGAUGACGGCCCUCGGGUUGUAAACUACUUUCGCUAGGGACGAAGCUUUUUGUGACGGUACCUAGAUAAGAAGCACCGGCUAACUACGUG